CUGUCCAGUAAUUCUUUCUCAUUCCAACUUCAAAGAUAAGAUUCUCGAUAAUUAUUCUUUAGGUACAUAAAAAAAAAAGUUCAAUGAAGAGAGUAUUAGAUAUGCUUAUUCUCACCAACUUUGUAAAAAUUGGGCUACUCCACCCUCAAAAUUCAGCGCAUUCUUCUUUUCUUUUUGCCCGCUCACUAUUCUCCCUUAGUGGACCACUCAGUGUGGUUGAAGCCCAAUGACAACGGAAAUCCGAAGGCCUACCUGUAAGCAAAAGAAACGCAAGCUUUUAUUACAGAAGAUCAACCAGCUAAAAUGGUCAAUGAGAGGAAUUCUGACCACGGAAAUUAUCAGCUUCAUUCCGGACUUUUUCUUCUAUCAAUGGGUAAGUAAGGAGAUUUCCCAAUGAACAGUUGACUGAAUCCUUCUCACUUUGCCUGAUUAAGAUUGGAGGCAGCAGCUCUUGUUUCUUAAGCUUGCAUUCAUCCCAACUACCAAUGAAGCUACUUGUUUCAACAUCAUCAUGCAUGCUCAUUAGCGCACGAAUGCCUCCACAGCAACUGUGACCAACAACUAAAAUGUUUUCAA
rnacentral:misc_RNA from 1 species